rnacentral:rRNA from 1 species
AACGAACGCUGGCGGCAGGCCUAACACAUGCAAGUCGAGCGAGGACUUCGGUCCUAGCGGCGGACGGGUGAGUAACGCGUGGGAACGUGCCCUUUGCUACGGAAUAGCCCUGGGAAACUGGGAGUAAUACCGUAUGUGCCCUUCGGGGGAAAGAUUUAUCGGCAAAGGAUCGGCCCGCGUUGGAUUAGGUAGUUGGGGGGGUAAUGGCCUACCAAGCCGACGAUCCAUAGCUGGUUUGAGAGGAUGAUCAGCCACACUGGGACUGAGACACGGCCCAGACUCCUACGGGAGGCAGCAGUGGGGAAUCUUAGACAAUGGGGGAAACCCUGAUCUAGCCAUGCCGCGUGAGCGAUGAAGGCCUUAGGGUUGUAGAGCUCUUUCAGUGGGGAAGAUAAUGACGGUACCCACAGAAGAAGCCCCGGCUAACUCCGUGCCAGCCGCCGCGGUAACAC